UACGGAGGGUGCGAGCGUUGUCCGGAAUCAUUGGGCGUAAAGGGCGCGUAGGUGGCCCCCUCAAGCGUGCGGUGAAAGUCAGGGGCUCAACCCCUGAUCGGCCGUGCGAACUGGGGAGCUUGAGCACUGUAGAGGCAGGCGGAAUUCCGGGUGGAGUGGUGAAAUGCGUAGAGAUCCGGAGGAACACCAAAGGCGAAGGCAGUGUCCUGGGGAGUACCUGACGCUCAGGUGCGAAAGCCAGGGGAGCGAACGGG
rnacentral:rRNA from 1 species